UACGUAGGGGGGCAAGCGUUGUCCGGAAUCAUUGGGCGUAAAGAGCGUGUAGGCGGCCCGGUAAGUCCGCUGUGAAAGUCGGGGGGCUCAACCCUCGAAUGCCGGUGGAUACUGUCGGGCUAGAGUGCGGAAGAGGCGAGUGGAAUUCCUGGUGUAGCGGUGAAAUGCGCAGAUAUCAGGAGGAACACCGAUUGCGAAGGCAGCUCGCUGGGACGUAACUGACGCUGAGACGCGAAAAGCGUGGGGGAGCGAACAGG
rnacentral:rRNA from 1 species